UACAGAGGGUGCAAGCGUUGUUCGGAUUCAUUGGGCGUAAAGGGUGCGUAGGCGGCGCGGUAAGUCGGGUGUGAAAUCUCGGAGCUUAACUCCGAAACUGCAUUCGAUACUGCCGUGCUUGAGGACUGGAGAGGAGACUGGAAUUUACGGUGUAAGCGGUGAAAUGCGUAGAUAUCGUAAGGAAGACCAGUGGCGAAGGCGGGUCUCUGGACAGUUCCUGACGCUGAGGCACGAAGGUCAGGGGAGCAAACGGG
rnacentral:rRNA from 1 species